GGAAGGACUGUAGCUCGGUAGCAGAGCACCUGCUCUGGCUGCAGAAGGCCCCAGGUUCAAAUCCCUGGCAUCUCCA